GGCAGGGAACCACCACCAAGUUCACCGAUACCAGCUCCAAGGCUCAGAAAGCCAACUCCUCAAGCGGUGUACAAAGGGUUUUGUUGGCUCUGCAGAAAACCCCUCCAGCUUAGGGUGGGAGUUAGCAGAGUCCACAGCGCUUUGGCAGCUCCAUGUCUCUGCCAGCAGUGGCUGCAGAGUGACAUUUGGAAAGGUCGUACAGCCGACCUUUGGGUGGACAGGGGGUGAAAUGUCACGCAUAUCCUUUUAGAGCCAUACUGGCAGGGACAGAGUAUUCCUUUCAUCCGGACAGGCAACAGCCAGUUUUCUACAAUCCUCUUAGAGCUCUGUCUCCGACCCUGAGAGAAGAAUCGAGCCUGCUGGAGACAGGACAUUCCCAAGCUCCACACCCCGGCAGUGUCUGUCUCACAGUCCUCCUGACCAGACGUGCCAGGAACACCACCCCAGGCCUUCACACGGUCCUGUUAGAAACUCCCUGGCAGGGUCUGCAGAUGGCUCUGGGUGAAAGCAGCACCCUUUCCUCUCUUGGCCUGGUGGCGAAGAGGCAGAGGGAAGACAAGGGACCACUCUGGCCUAUGGAGCAGGCGGGCACAGCCAGGUCUGCCUGUGCUAGGCUGCUGCUGCUGCUAGCGCUGUCUUCACGGAGUGGUCUCGCUCUGACGACAGGCAAGUGGGUGACCGAGCUGGCAGACGCAGAAUGACGCUGAAAUGUAACAAGAGGAGAAGCACCCAAGGAAACUUCGAGGCUUGUUUGCGCCCCUGCGCUCACCCCCGCGCUGCCUCCCACAGGCACCUGGAGU